AUUGAACGCUGGCGGCGUGCCUAAUACAUGCAAGUCGAGCGAAGCGGCGGAUGGGUUAGUAACUCGUGGUUAACCUGCCCUUCAGUCUGUGAUCCCAUUUGAAAACAGAUGCUAAUACCGGAUACUAACGGAUGGCCCUGCGAUGCAUGUGCUAGUUGGUAAGGUAACGGCUUACCAAGGCGAUGAUGCAUAGCCGAGUUGAGAGACUGAUCGGCCACAUUGGGACUGAGACACGGCCCAAACUCCUACGGGAGGCAGCAGUAGGGAAUCUUCCACAAUGGACGAAAGUCUGAUGGAGCAACGCCGCGUGAGUGAAGAAGGUUUUCGGAUCGUAAAGCUCUGUUGUUGGUGAAGCGGUAAUCAACCAGAAAGUCACGGCUAACUACGUGCCAGCAGCCGCGGUAAUUC
rnacentral:rRNA from 1 species